GCUUGAAGUAAUUUAAUUUUAAGUGUAACCUGCUCAAUGAAAAAUUAAAUAGCUGCAGUAAUUUGACUGUACAAAGGUAGCAUAAUAAUUUGCCUUUUAAUUGAAGGCUGGAAUGAAGGGUUAAACAUAAAAAACUCUGUCUCUAUUUUUAUAUUUGAAAUUAAUGUUUUUGUAAAAAAGCAAAAAUUCUAUAAAGGGACGAAAAGACCCUAUCAAGUUUUAUAUAAAUGUAAAUAUUAAUAAACAUACAUGUGACAUUUAUAUUUGUUUGGGGCGAACUUAAAAAUAAAUAACUUUUUAUUGACUAAAUAAUUUUAAAAUUUAUAUUUAAUCUAUAAUUUAUAAAAAUAAAAAAAUUACUGUAGGGGUAACAGCAUAAUUUUUUUUAUAAGUACUAAUUAUAAAAUGAGUUUAUGACCUCGAUGUUGGGUUAAUUUAACCUUUUAAUGAAUCAGUUAAAAAGGGAGGGCCGGCCGUCAUKGAAAAAAAAACA
rnacentral:rRNA from 1 species